rnacentral:lncRNA from 1 species
CGAAAGUGUAUUUAUAGUGAUGUGUGGUGUGGGGAGGAUGAGUGUGUAGAGGACACCAAGCUAGGAAACAUAAACAUUCGGUCUCCUUCAUGAUGACCUUCCCUGGAAGGGUCUGAGCACAUCCGUCUCAUCCCUUUCGUUCCCUAUUUACUGGGAAGAAAUAUUCAGCCACAUAGAAAGACACUAUUCACCUUCCUGAGUAUCUUAGUUCACUGUUACCCUUACAGAAGAAAAACAAGGAUUAAGAAACUACUCAAUGCUGUGCACCUUUCUGCAGCUCCACUCCUGGAGGAAAAUGGGC